UAUGUAGGGUGCGAGCGUUAAUCGGAAUUACUGGGCGUAAAGCGUGCGCAGGCGGUUCGUUGUGUCGGCGGUGAAAGCCCCGGGCUCAACCUGGGAAUGGCCGUUGAAACUGGCGAACUGGAGUGUGGCAGAGGGGGGUGGAAUUCCACGUGUAGCAGUGAAAUGCGUAGAGAUGUGGAGGAACACCGAUGGCGAAGGCAGCCCCCUGGGCUAACACUGACGCUCAUGCACGAAAGCGUGGGGAGCAACAGG
rnacentral:rRNA from 1 species